rnacentral:rRNA from 1 species
UACGUAGGGUGCAAGCGUUUAAUCGGAAUUACUGGGCGUAAAGCGUGCGCAGGCGGUGAUGUAAGACAGGUGUGAAAUCCCCGGGCUUAACCUGGGAACUGCAUUUGUGACUGCAUCGCUGGAGUGCGGCAGAGGGGGAUGGAAUUCCGCGUGUAGCAGUGAAAUGCGUAGAUAUGCGGAGGAACACCGAUGGCGAAGGCAAUCCCCUGGGCCUGCACUGACGCCUACUGCACGAAAGCGUGGGGAGCAAACAGG